CGGGGCUGCCCACCACGGAAGGCCCGGAAAGGAGGGGUCAGCAUCCCGAGGGGACAGGACCCUCCAUUGGCUCUGGCUUUUCGGGGGGGUGUGCUGACCCUAGGCCACCGUCCAGGGUGCUCUGCCCCCUGCCCCAGGCAGACCGUCUCUCUCUCAGCGUCCCGCAAGCUCAUCUCCGGGCCCCAGCCCAGCAAACCCAGGUGAGGGGCCUGCCUGGUGACCGGGGCACAUCGCCCAGGGGAGGGGCUGUUCCCAGUGGGAAAGGAGUGGCCGUGGCCACGGACUGGGGGUCCUAGUCAGGACAGACGGGAUUCCGGGAACUCCACUCACUGUCCAGAAAGUGACCCGAUAGCCACCCCAGAGUUGUCCUGACAGGACCUUAAAGCCUGGGAAGCCGACCUGCGCUGAGAGGCCUAUGGUGAUUGGGGAGGACGUGGGGGCCUCCAGCGGCCCAGGACACCAAGCGGACAGGACGGGCCCUGUACUGGGGGUCUUGGCCCAAAGCCCCCACUACACAGUGAGACAGACCUGAAACCAGAAAAGUCUUUAUUGCAAAGGUACAAAAGCGUCACAGCAGAGAUGUACAGCAAUAAAUUAGGUGGUGGCCGUGAGGGGACAGGGCAGGUGUGGGCCACGACAUAAGGUCUCUUCUCAAUAAUUUAUAUCAUGAUAAAAGCAGCACAAAAAUAAAUAUUGAAAUGAAACUGCUGGGCAGGCAGAGGCGGGGAAAACCGGUGGGUGCCGAGCUUACGAAGGGGAGGACAAACCCACGCCACAAAGACGUCCCUGCCUUUUGUCUUAAAUAAAAAACCCAUAUAUUAAAAUUGUGACAAUGACAUCUCAAUGAUCCAAAAAGAAAAGCAGGAGGGAGCGAGCCAGUCUUCCUUCCCUGGCCCCUGAUCCCGGGAGGGCAAUGGGCAGCUGCGGGGACAGCUCCUCCGAGGCCCCAGCCAGCACUCGCCCACCUGCACCCCACGGGACGGGGCGCUCUGUGAACCCGGGGCGGCCACUGGGCAGGACAGCCGGCCAGGGUGGGCAGGGGGUGCGCCCAGGUGCCCAGGCCAUCUGCGGGACCCAAGUCAGAUGGGCAGGAGGGGAGACCAAGGGCAGCGGGAGGCGACCGGGCCUCCCACCUCGGGCUGCGAGCUGGUGCCUGAGGAGCCAGGCGGGGUGGCGACAGGUUCCCACUGCCCUGCCCUCGACGGCUGCUCUGCUCUAAGAGGCUGACAGUACCCAACAGGAAAAGAGUUACGAAAAGUCUGUACGAUAAAAUGUGUAUAUAAUUUUAUAUAUAUAUAUAUAUACUUUUCUCUCUUUUUUAAAUAUUUCCCCAUGGUCCUUAUUGACAUCCAAUGUGGAUUACCUACCAUGGCUAUGCGAUCAACAGCUUUUGCUUACACACCGGGCCUUUCUGUUACACACCAGGUUGUGUAAGGAUCCAGCGCCCCAGACCCUCCGCCUUCUCCCAGGACAGGGACAAGGCCAUGUGGCAAUGCUGCUGGAGAGGCCCAGGUGCCCUGUCUGCUCCUGCCAGCAGACACAGAAGCUGGACGCAGCCCUUGGGGCUGUCAGUCCUCCCCCAACCCUGGCAUGGCUGACACCUGCUUGCUGGGGGUCUCCCUGGGUGGCAGGGCACAAGAGGAAACCGGGAGCUGGAGCCCAGCGGCUUCUGGCCAGUGAUGGGGCUCAGCAGCUCACUCAGACCCAGGGCCGUGGCCCCAGCAUCCUCCCAGGAGGGGUAGAAGUGGCCGUCCAUGCCCAGCCCACACAGGGAGCCCCCGCGGUGGCUCUCAAGGAAGGGAAGCCCCAGCAAAGGUCACCUGCCCCAGAAAGGGCAGGUGAAGGUUCCAGGGAACUCAGCACCAGGCUCGCAGAGUCCCCUCGUCUCCUCUGUGCUGACACACCAUCCAGGUGCUUCCGGGAGGCCCGUCCGGUCCGUGUGGACUUCCUGGCCCAGAGCCUGCCACCUCGCCCACCAUCACCUCCUCUGCCCCAUUCAAGCCCGCCUCGUCUUCUGAUCCCACCCAGCCCCCUGCUCUCUCACCUCCUCCAGCAGUGGGAGCCACAGGCAGCCGGGCGCCCCCCAGCUCCAUGGCCGCUCCGGAGGCCUCGCUGACAGCCCGCCGUUCCGCACAGAACCUGCUCCCCACCCACCUCCCAGCCCCCAAGGCCCAUCGCCCCCUUCCCAUGCUGGGCACCACCUUCCCGGGCUCUGCGAGGCGGCCGCAGUGGGGGCUGGGUCCCCAGGCCAGGCUGCCACUGCUCCUCAAUAGGGACCUCCUUCCGGCCACCCCGACACAGAGAGAAAACUCACAACACUCAUGCACCUGCACCCACAGGCCCCCCCAGGACCACUUGCAACCAGCCACUCCUCCCAGGCCCCUGGUGCUGCAGGUGCUCUUCUGAGGUGGCAGGGGGACAGGCACGCUGACGUGUGUUGACAGGCUGCUGGUGGGAGGGGUGGAAGACGGAGCCCUUGCCACCCAGGCCACAGGGCCAGGGACCUGCUGAGGGCCCUCCCUGCAGACAUCCCAACUCCCCCGGCACAGGACACAGGCUCCGGAAGAGAGACAGUCCGCAGAGAGCUGGCAGGGCCCAGAGGAAGGCGAGGUGCGUGUGUGUGCAUGUGCGUGUGUGUGGGCGUGUGGGCAGGCGUGCGGCACACGGGCUCACAGGCCCCUAACUCUUCAUCAGGCCCCUGUGACCUCGCCCCGCCAGGAGCCCCACGGGAGCCUGUGCUUGGACUCGGGGUUUCAGGGGUCUGCUCCCCAUGGGACCCUCCAACAAGCACGAGGGACAGCCCCUCUGGCCCCACCGCCGGCCCCCUCGCCCAACCGGGGCCGGCACUAGGAGGCGGCCGAGAAGGGCACGGAGCUGGAGAUCUCAGCGGACUUGACGAUGGUGAUGACGCUGGUGGUGGCCACCUUGGUGGGCGUGAUGGGCCCGCGCGCCACGGUGCGGGCAAAGGUCUGCAGGGCCUCGUACUUGGAGCGCAGGGCGUCCAGCUCCAGCUUCAUGCUGCUGUUCUCACGCGCCAGCUUCUCCACCUCCUGCUGCAGCUCCACGCGCUGCCGCUCCAGCUCCUCCUUCUGCGUCACCCGCUUGAUGCGGCAGCUGGCGGCGUAGCCGCGGUUCUUGAGCGUGCGCCGGCGCUGCUUCAGACGGACCACCUCCUCCUUGGUGAGGCCCCGCAGGUGCUGGUUCAGCUCCCGCACCGACAUGGACACCAGCUCAUCGUCGCUGAGCACUGGGGCGUUCUCGCCCGCCUCCUUCUUGACCUGCGGGGCCACAGCACGGGGUCAGGACCGGGGCGAGGGAGGCCUCGCUGCAGGGACCCCAGAGGACCACUUGGAACGUUGCCGUGGACGAGCCCGGCUCCUGGCAGGGCCCCCCUGCAUCGCAGGCUGGCCUUCACUCCAUCAGGGAAUGGGGACGGUCACUGUGGGGUCACUCAACAUUGUGCACAGGAUGUAAGGCAGGACGGUCCCCGAUGGGGGCCGUUGGCCCCACCUGCCAUUACCCAGUUACUGUCUGCCACCCAAACUCUGCGAGGCCGCAGCCUGCACGCGUGCUGCCCUCUGUGGGUCUCCAGCGCCUGGUGCACGACUGACACGGGCAGGGGAGCGAGGGGAAGGCGAGGCAGCCUACUGUUCCGCACCCUCGGACCCAGGAGGCCCAGCCAGGGCCUGGCGGGACACGGCCACAUCCACCUGCAGGGCCUCAGGAGGGGCUUGGAGAGGCACAGCCCACAAAUACCGAGAGUCCCCGCUCCAGCGGGACCCAGCUCUGCUCCCGAGCCAGGAGACGGCCGGCCCAAGGGCACACGCUGGCCUCCAAAGCUGAGAGCCCCAGGAGGCGGGCAGCCGGAGCCAGGCCCGGGGAGCUGGAGCAGCACCGUUCACACGUGCCCUGCCCGGGGCCUGGCGGGACCAGAGGCCGCACUGCCCACGCCAGGGUGCCGGGGCGAUGAGCACAUCCUGGCCAGGAGGCACCAUCCCUCCCGCCCCCUCCACCCAGGAGUUAUGUCCUUGGACGUAAGCCUGCGUCUCCGAAGGCUGCAACCCUCGAUUCUGUCGACAUCUCUCGGGGACACCUCCUCCCGCCCUCUUCCAGGUGACAGGCCUUCCUCCCUCACGGUCCGGGCAGUCCUGGGACAGGGGGCUGCGCGGUGGAGACGGGGUGGCCCCUUACCUUUAACGCCUUGUUCGGUUUGGGGUUAGUCGUCAUAACCUGGGACAGGCACCCGGACAGAACUGCGGAAAAUCACUGCAGGAUCACAGAACAGAAACGCACGUGGUUAGGUCCUGGCUGCGCUGCCGUGACAAGUGACCUGAAGCAGGGAUGUCCCACUGCAGAGACGCUCCGAGGAGGCUCAGCUCCUCGCACUGUGCCAUCCAGUCAGCCCCACAAAAGCAAGGAGGAGCCCAGCCUGGCCUGAGAGCUCCCCAGGGGGGCACCCUGGCCGGGCCUGAGCCUCUGCUCGGCCGCGCCCCCCACUCCAGCAUCAGCCCAGGGAGCCGCCCAGACCCACCUUGUCCCAGUGCCCGGUAGCCACACGGCCGUCCCGCGCUGCCCGCCGGGCCUGUGCUGUGAGCACCAGCGCCUUGGGGUGAGGCCAGGUGUGAGCAGCUGUUGCUUCCUGUUCUGACUCCCACUCUGAGCUCCGACGUUCGCACCUGCGGGGCACAGGAGGCCACAGUGAAGGGCCGAGGCACGCAGCGGCCAGGCCCCCUCCCGAGAACAGCCGUGCCCAGCACUUGAGCAGUGCGCCGGCCAGGGGCAGCACCCUGCCCCGCCAAAAGCCUGUCACCCCCGACCCAGCCUGGCUCCCCGAGAAGCAGGGCCCCUUCGGGGAGCCCCUGCCCUUGCAGAGCUCACCCCAACGAGGGACGGGUGGAGCCCUGUGUCGGCCCCAGCCCGGCCCCGCCCUCCCGGCAGACCCACCUCCGCGAAGGGCACUGCAGCUGUGACAUCACCGCCGCCACCUAGACUGCCCCACAGCCAUGACCUGAGGCCCAGACGGUGGCCAGAGGCUCCCCACGCCAGCCAGCCCGGACCCGGGAGGUGGGAGCCACCACCUCACGCGCUCAUGGACUGUCUGGCGGGAGUCGUCCCCGCCGCCCGCCAGCCCCCCUACGCCCGCCCUUCUCAUUUUCGCGUCUGCAUUGUGUCACACAUUCUAAUCAUUCAUGAAAAAGCCAGCCAAAGCAUCCCAAGCAUGAUUCCCCUCUGAUAGUUGCCAUGGUGACCUUGGGAAGUAGCCAACCCCUGAUGGUCGCCAUGGAAACAGAGAAGCCCACAGCAACAAUGGCUUCGGGCUGGCGGUGCAGACACGGCAGGUUGCGGGACAGUAAACAAACCCUUGGUGCCCUGGCAGCCAGGGGGGCAGGAGGGGAACAGGCACCUGGCACACUGACGCCAGCUUACGGGAUCAGGGUCCGCUCCCCAGGUUCCAAACGCCACGUGAAGUGAACUGAGCAGAGAGACCGUCAGAGAAACGCGCCCAAGGAGGGGAAAUGGGGCCCCAGAGACGGAGCCGCAUCAAAGCCUCCAUCUGGGGGGAGCGAGACUCAGGGGGAUGGGCUCCACAACGCCCACAGUCCUGGGACCCUCACUGCAGCAUGGCCUGGGCCUCCACCCAUUGGCCCUGCCGCCAAGGGCCCGCCCGCCCCUCACCCCAGAGGCUGCCAACACGACAGAGGGGCCGGCACCCAGGCCUGCAGACGCCGACUGCCCCUUGCAUCGUGGCUGCUCUCCCAGGUCGCCUGUGACUGUAAACAAACUCCGCAGAGUGAAAGCGUGCACGGCGGACAAAGAACAGACCGGAACCCGACCUCACGCAGUGGCAGCCUGGGCGCUGGAGAAAGGGCUGGAACGCAGCAAGCCCCGCACUCAGGAAGAGCGACUCCCCCAGUAGCCUCGACUCAACUCCCAUUUUUAGCAACCACCUUGAAAGUAAGCGACGCUGAACUUGGACCCGGGCCCUUAAAGUCCAGCGACCUUCAAGCACAAAAGGAAAUGCGCUCCGGGGAGAAGCCUCGCUUUGUGUUUUUGAGUUAAUAAACAUUUUAUUUUGGAAU
ensembl:lncRNA